rnacentral:rRNA from 1 species
UCAACCUGAGAGUUUGAUCCUGGCUCAGAGCGAACGCUGGCGGCAGGCCUAACACAUGCAAGUCGAACGGAUCCUUCGGGAUUAGUGGCGGACGGGUGAGUAACACGUGGGAACGUGCCUUUUGGUUCGGAACAACUCAGGGAAACUUGAGCUAAUACCGGAUAAGCCUUUCGAGGGAAAGAUUUAUCGCCAUUAGAGCGGCCCGCGUAGGAUUAGCUAGUUGGUGGGGUAAAGGCCACCAAGGCUACGAUCCUUAGCUGGUCUGAGAGGAUGAUCAGCCACAUUGGGACUGAGACACGGCCCAAACUCCUACGGGAGGCAGCAGUGGGGAAUCUUGCGCAAUGGGCGAAAGCCUGACGCAGCCAUGCCGCGUGAAUGAUGAAGGUCUUAGGAUUGUAAAAUUCUUUCACCGAGGACGAUAAUGACGGUACUCGGAGAAGAAGCCCGGCUAACUUCGUGCCAGCAGCCGCGGUAAUACGAAGGGGGCUAGCGUUGCUCGGAAUUACUGGGCGUAAAGGGAGCGUAGGCGGAUAGUUUAGUCAGAGGUGAAAGCCCAGGGCUCAACCUUGGAAUUGCCUUUGAUACUGGCUAUCUUGAGUACGGAAGAGGUAUGUGGAACUCCGAGUGUAGAGGUGAAAUUCGUAGAUAUUCGGAAGAACACCAGUGGCGAAGGCGACAUACUGGUCCGUUACUGACGCUGAGGCUCGAAAGCGUGGGGAGCAAACAGGAUUAGAUACCCUGGUAGUCCACGCUGUAAACGAUGAGUGCUAGUUGUCGGCAUGCAUGCAUGUCGGUGACGCAGCUAACGCAUUAAGCACUCCGCCUGGGGAGUACGGUCGCAAGAUUAAAACUCAAAGGAAUUGACGGGGGCCCCGCACAAGCGGUGGAGCAUGUGGUUUAAUUCGAAGCAACGCGCAGAACCUUACCACCUUUUGACAUGCCCGGACCGGCAGAGAGAUCUGUCUUUCCCUUCGGGGACUGGGACACAGGUGCUGCAUGGCUGUCGUCAGCUCGUGUCGUGAGAUGUUGGGUUAAGUCCCGCAACGAGCGCAACCCUCGCUAUUAGUUGCCAUCAGGUUUGGCUGGGCACUCUAAUAGGACCGCCGGUGGUAAAGCCGGAGGAAGGUGGGGAUGACGUCAAGUCCUCAUGGCCCUUACAAGGUGGGCUACACAC